rnacentral:piRNA from 1 species
UGUGUGUGCGUGCAUGCGUGUCCGUGUGU